rnacentral:rRNA from 1 species
UACGUAGGGGGCAAGCGUUGUCCGGAAUUAUUGGGCGUAAAGCGCGCGUAGGCGGUUUUGCAAGUCGGGUGUGAAAUCCCCAGGCUUAACCUGGGAACUGCAUUCGAGACUGCAUUACUAGAGUAUGGGAGAGGGAAGUGGAAUUUCCGGUGUAGCGGUGAAAUGCGUAGAUAUCGGAAGGAACAUCAGUGGCGAAAGCGACUUCCUGGACCAAUACUGACGCUCAUGUGCGAAAGCGUGGGGAGCAAACAGG